AAUCAACGCUGGCGGCGUGCCUAACACAUGCAAGUCGAACGAGAAAGAGGGGGCAACUCCUCGAGUAAAGUGGCGACCGGGUGAGUAACACGUGACUAACCUACCCUUGAGUGGGAAUAACCUUCCGAAAGGAGGGCUAAUACCGCAUAACAUCGCGAGGCGAGAUUCCUUGUGAUCAAAGGAGCAAUUCGCUUAAGGAGGGGGUCGCGGCUGAUUAGCUAGUUGGUGAGGUAACGGCUCACCAAGGCGGUGAUCAGUAUCCGGCCUGAGAGGGCGCACGGACACACUGGAACUGAAACACGGUCCAGACUCCUACGGGAGGCAGCAGUGGGGAAUUUUGCGCAAUGGGGGAAACCCUGACGCAGCAACGCCGCGUGGAGGAUGAAGGUCUUUGGGUUGUAAACUCCUUUCGAUCGGGACGAUUAUGACGGUACCGGAAGAAGAAGCACCGGCUAACUCUGUGCCAGCCGCCGCAGUAAGAC
rnacentral:rRNA from 1 species